rnacentral:rRNA from 1 species
AAUGAACGCUGGCGGCAGGCCUAACACAUGCAAGUCGAACGGAUCCUUCGGGAUUAGUGGCGGACGGGUGAGUAACGCGUGGGAACGUACCCCUUUCUUCGGAAUAGCCUCGGGAAACUGGGAGUAAUACCCGGAUAAGUCCUAUUGGGGAAAGAUUUAUCGGGAAGGGAUCGGCCCGCGUUGGAUUAGGUAGUUGGUGGGGGUAAUGGCCUACCAAGCCGACGAUCCAUAGCUGGUUUGAGAGGAUGAUCAGCCACACUGGGACUGAGACACGGCCCAGACUCCUACGGGAGGCAGCAGUGGGGAAUCUUAGACAAUGGGGGAAACCCUGAUCUAGCCAUGCCGCGUGAUCGAUGAAGGCCUUAGGGUGUAAGAUCUUUCAGUGGGAAGAUAAUGACGGUACCCACAGAAGAAGACCCCGGCUAACUCCGUGCCAGCAGCCGCGGUAAAGUGACUACUG